AAGGAAGUGUUUGCAUGUCCAACAGCACACCUAGUCGUAAUUGGUUGAUAUUCAGGGAGUCGGCAUAGCGUAGGGAGGAGACGGGAAGUAGUUCAGAAUCCCUGCCGCUCAGAUUUUGCUCUGGCAUCUCCACUCAUACUCUCUUGGUGUUACCAAGUCGGCCUUGAGACCCCCUUCCCUGGAUUCUUCUGGUUCACCUGCAAACUCUCUGGUUACUUCGUCUGUUCCUCCCAUCUGCUGUGGUGCGCUCCGGAUCCCUCGCCAGCCUGCCAUCUGUCAGCCCUUCUGUCACUACCACCUAUCACCACCUACGAGUUACGGUCACAGGGUUCCCUCGUCAUUAUUCUCCCCGGAUAGGUCAGCCCUGCUAAAUGUCGCUCCAGUACUGACGUUCAGACCUCACCCGAGCCACACGCUGUCUCUCUUCCGCAGCCUGAACCUUUCAACAAAUAUCUUAAAACUGUGCUUGUCUUCCAUCUGUAUCUGCAUGUGGGCUAAACACUUAAAAACCAUGACAGUUCUGUGAAUCUUUUUCAGAUUGACGUGCAUCAAACCAAUAGGAAAUGAUAUCACACUCCUUUUGCCUAAAAUGCACAGCAAUUCUAAACCCUUUAAUUGAUUAUUUAAAUAAUACCUGUUGGUUUUAACGGACAGUGUAUCUACACAACCCUGGUUGUAUUCUAUAUCCCCCUGUUUGAAUGGUUUUGAAACAAACCUUUAAACUGUAAUAUCAUCCUGUGAACAGUAACCCAUUGUCACCCAAACAUCUCCCCCUGUUCAUUUAACCACUCCAUACAGGUCUAGAUCAAAUUUUUAUGAGACUGUUUCAUUCAUCUAACAUUUGUAUCAUUGAUAAUACACACAACACUUUUAACCUCAUGCCAUUCAGUCCUUUAUUAAGUAUCCUGUUCUCAGUUGUCCUGUGUUAAGUCUAACCUUAAAAAAAUAAGCAGACAUUACUCACAGUGAUUUUCUUACAUUUUCAUUUAUCUAUUAUUAUUACUAUUGCAUUUCCUACAGUUCUUUGAAAUUUAGGCUGCAGUGUUUGGAAAUUUCAUCACCAAGUGAUCCAUAAUCAUAUUCUAUGUUAAUAUGAAACCACCAGCUAUCUCCCAGUACCAAACACCUCUAUUCGUUUGAGCUGUCCUAAUUACGGCUGUUCUUCUCCUUCUUUCCCUUCCAGUCCUUGCUGCAGGCAUUACAAUACUGCUAACUGACCGAAAUUUAAACACUACAUUCUUCGACCAGGUGGGCGGAGAAGACCCUAUUCUUUACUAACAUCUCUUUUGAUUCUUUGGUCACCCAGAAGUUUGUAUUCUAAUUUUAUCAGGUUUUGGUAUAAUUUCACAUACUGUAGCAUACUAUUCUGG